AUGAAGCUCACCCUCAUCUUUGUGCUUGUGAUGAUCUCCACACUUGGAGGAAUAAGAGCCCAGACAGUGACUCAGCCUGAAGACCACAUAUUUGUCUUUGAAGGGGCCACAGUGCAAAUAAAGUGCAACUACUCAUAUUCUGGGAGUCCUGUUCUCUCUUGGUAUGUUCAGUAUCCCAAGAAAAGACUCCAGUUACUUCUGAGACACACCUCAAGAGAAACCAUCAAAGGUUUCACAGCAGAUCUUGACAAGGGCAAGAUGUCUUUUCAUCUGAAGAAACCAUCAGCUGAAGAGGAAGACUCAGCCAUGUAUUACUGUGCUUUGAGUGACACAGUGACUUGUUUUGCAUAA